AGAGUGCUUAGACAGUCUCUUUUGUUCGCAACAAACUAUCAGUCCUUAAACACUUCAAAUUUAUGUAUAUAUAUGUCAAAAAAUAGAAAGAAGACAUUUUUCGUUACAAAGAGAAAGUGUGUAGUGUUACUGCAUGUAAUAAAAUACACAAUUUUCUUUGUAACAAUUACAAAAUGAAAACAGUUGAUUGUCAUCCAUGAUUUGAAUAGUUUGUCAAGCAGGAGGCUAAAGUCGAAAUAUAAUCCAUUUCAUGUAUACUUAUGGUAUACAUAUAUAAUGGCAUGGAAAAUCAUUUACAAUCCAAUAUUGGUUACUGUUGUGUUUCAACUACCAUCUUUUGUUAUUGACCAAAAUUUGCAAUCAUUUAUUUGAUUUUCUUGAUUUUUAUCAAAUAUCUUUUGUUCCAAAAUUUACAAUCCUUUGUUUGACCAAAGUAAUGAAUUUAUACAUGUAUUUGUUUUCUAUUAUCUUUCUUUACUCUUUUAUCAUCUUCGCUAAGCAUGGAUUUUCGGUUUAUGGGGAGCGGAGUGGAUCUACACCUUGUAGUAUAGUCCAAGUGAAGAUGCUUUUUGAUCUGAAUUCUUUAUGAUUUGAUUGUGUAGUAUUAAGAGCAGUAUUGUUUUUUAUGUUUGAUGUAUUGUAUUUUUGUCGUUUUAAUUUUUGAAAUCAUUAUUGACCAACUGAAUGAAAUAACAUUUGAUGAAUUUGUCGAUUGGUGCUUUCCGGAACGGAACGAAGGCAGCAAAGGGGUAACGGGGAAAUGGAAAUUAAAUAAAAUAACAUAUAAACAUUAAAAUGGAACAUCGAUAUUUUAUUAACUUUUAUAAUAAAAAAUAUUGUUCAUUUUUUGAUAUCUAUUUCCCUGUUGUGUACCCCUUUACUAGUUUGUUGUAAUGUUUCUUUUCGUUCCGUUCCGCAAAGUACCAAUUGCCACGAAUUUUGAUCAGAAGAGAAUCGGUCAAUUUGUUUUAAUUGAAAAACAAAUUCGUAAACUGAAUGCACUGAAUAUAAACUAUAUGACUAAACAAAGAUAAAAAAUUG
rnacentral:misc_RNA from 1 species